GCGAGGAUAAAAACACGUCCCGGCCGGUAGUCCGCGGAGCGCUUUCCCGGGGAAACUCCCGGGGGCGUCAGUAACCUGCCUCCUUUGGUUGUCCGUUCCCC
rnacentral:ncRNA from 1 species